rnacentral:SRP_RNA from 1 species
GCUGGGCAUGGUGGCUCAUGCCUGUAAUCCCAGCACUUUGGGAGGCUGAGGUGGGUGGAUCACCUGAGGUCAGGAGUUCGAGACCAGCCUGGCCAACAUGGUAAAACCCCACCUCUA